CAUGCAAACACGUGUGUUUAUCUGAUUGCUGAGACAGCGCUCAGACUUGGCGUGCUGCCUCUUACAGAUCUCCGAAGAGUUAGCCUCACAGAAACCUCUGGAUGUGGAGAUGGCUGGCUGACAUCAUAGGAUACUCAGAAAUGAACUUGGGGUUAAGACAACAACAUAUUGACAUAAUAUAAAUAUGAAAAUCCAAACAAGAAAUCAAAGUGCCAGGAGUUUUAAAGUUUUAUGAAGGUGUGCGUUCUGGUCAAUGCAAGCAGAACUUGAAACAGGGAUCUUCAAAGUUCAUGGAUUAGCUGUUUUAAAAGCACUGAACACAUUACUUAAAUACCUCCCAAAAUUCGUACAUUGAAGUCCUAACUCCAUCAGUAUGUCAGAAUGUGAACUUUUCUAGAAAUAGGGUUGAUUGAAGAUGUACUUUGUUAAGAAGAGGUCAUACUGGAGUAGGGUGGGCUCUUAACCCAGUAUGACUGGUGUCCUUACAAAAAGGGGAAAUUUGGACACACAUACACACACAGGGAAAGCACUAUUUGAAUACGAAGAUCAUGACUCAACUACAAGCCAAAAAAUGCCAAAGAUGCCAGCAAGCCACCAGCAGCUGGAAGACAGGCCUGGAAGAGAUUCUCAGUCACAGCCCCCAGAAGGAACCAACCUUGCCACCUC
rnacentral:lncRNA from 1 species